rnacentral:rRNA from 1 species
UCUGGUUGACCUCGGAUCAGGUAGGAAUACCCGCUGAACUUAAGCAUAUCAAUAAGCGGAGGAA